CUGCCUCUCUCAGUAAAGGCUGUUAUUAAGUAACAAAUUCGGGUGGGUCAAGGGCAGAGUAACCAAGAGAUCUCAGCAAGCAUGAGGGAGAUUCAAGGAGCUGGCAUUGUGUGACUGGGGACAGAAAAGCCCUCAUGCAGGCAGGCGGGUCACAAUUGUUCCCUUCAGAUUUCUGAGGGGCUGCCUUGGUGGGAGAGGGGGUAGUUCAGUUCUGUGGGGCUCCAGGGGGCAAAAGGCAUGAUAAAUGAGUAGAAGUCAUGGAGAGGUGGAGCUUGCCUCCAGGUAAGGAAAGCUAAUCUGUGAUUGAGAACAACAGCAUGUCUGCUCUAGGAGGCAGUGGGAGCCCUGUCACUGGCGGUAUUCCGCAGGGCUGGAUGCUUAUUUGCUAUGGGUGCUGUAGUGGAAAUUAUCAAACUGGGAACAGAGACAUGAAGGGCACAUCCAGCUUGGAACUCCAUUUCUCUCCUCUGCGUCUUUUACAGACAGAAUGCUAAGAAGGAUGCUGCUGCACAGUGGGGACUGAGCCAACUCACUGUUCAACAAAUAAGCAUUGGAGGGUCUCUAGUUCCAUAGAAAGAAGGCAAAUGAAGAGGACAGAAGAAGGAGAGAGACCUUCCCACCCCAUCAGCCCUAUGCUGCAGAGAGGGAUCCCACAUCUACUUCUCUUGCAGAAACCAACUGGUGGAAGUGACCUUCUCAUGGAGUGUCCUUCACAAAACUUGCUCAGUGCUGCCAACUCCAUUCAGGAUGAUGGCUGCCCACUCAUACCUGCAAUGGGUCAUGGACUGGGAAGCUGAUGAAACUGCAACUGGCAUGGGCUGCUGGGAGCCACCAUACAUGGAGGAGAGUGAUGGCUGAUUCACAGGACCAGUCCUCUGCUCAGAGUUCCUGCAUCCUGGGGGCCACUUCUGAACCAGACCAUGCCCACUCCAGCCACCACAGAUCGAGCCACGGGCAACCAAUUACUAGACUGGCCACACCUGUGACUUGUGUGGUUCCGCCUUAAGAGAUAGACUGGAGCAAUCAGAUUCUCAGUUUGAGAAAUCUGAUCAAACACAUGGAAAGACUUGCUGAUUUAUGGUGAUGAUUGCAGCUGCAAAGUCUUGAGCUGCCCCGUCAUAAGGAGUAGGAGAUGAUGACCAUCUUGGAGGAGGGAGAUGCUGUAUCCUGGAGAGGCCACUGGGGUAGGAAUCGGCCAUCUGUGCUCCGCUUCAAGUUGUGCUACCGAUUAGUCACAUCACUUCACAUCUGUGCUGCACCCUCACCCUCACUGCUAAACUGGUGA
rnacentral:lncRNA from 1 species